GGCGAACGCUGGCGGCGUGCCUAAUACAUGCAAGUCGAGCGAAGUUUUUCUGGUGCUUGCACCGGAAAAACUUAGCGGCGAACGGGUGAGUAACACGUAAAGAACCUGCCUCAUAGACUGGGACAACUAUUGGAAACGAUAGCUAAUACCGGAUAACAACAUUAACUGCAUGGUUAAUGUUUAAAAGUUGGUUUUGCUAACACUAUGAGAUGGUUUUGCGGUGCAUUAGCUAGUUGGUGGGGUAAAGGCCUACCAAGGCGACGAUGCAUAGCCGACCUGAGAGGGUGAUCGGCCACACUGGGACUGAGACACGGCCCAGACUCCUACGGGAGGCAGCAGUAGGGAAUCUUCCGCAAUGGGCGAAAGCCUGACGGAGCAACGCCGCGUGAGUGAAGAAGGAUUUCGGUUCGUAAAGCUCUGUUGUUAGGGAAGAAUGAUUGUGUAGUAACUAUACAUAGUAGAGACGGUACCUAACCAGAAAGCCACGGCUAACUACGUGCCAGCAGCCGCGGUAAUACGUAGGUGGCAAGCGUUGUCCGGAAUUAUUGGGCGUAAAGCGCGCGCAGGUGGUUUAAUAAGUCUGAUGUGAAAGCCCACGGCUCAACCGUGGAGGGUCAUUGGAAACUGUUAAACUUGAGUGCAGGAGAGAAAAGUGGAAUUCCUAGUGUAGCGGUGAAAUGCGUAGAGAUUAGGAGGAACACCAGUGGCGAAGGCGGCUUUUUGGCCUGUAACUGACACUGAGGCGCGAAAGCGUGGGGAGCAAACAGG
rnacentral:rRNA from 1 species